rnacentral:lncRNA from 1 species
CGGUAGUCUGUCCAAUCUGUAUGUACUCAUCUACCGCAUCGGUUGGUAACCCGUACGCAAGGAUACGCAAUGCAGCACAAACUUUUUGCAAUGGACCAAGCCCUGCUAAACCUGUUGCAUCACAACGAAUAGUGAAGUAUUCGUCUUCUCGCUGAACGGCACGAAGGAUACGUAGGAACAAAGGACGAUGCAUCCAAAACCUAUAAACGAAAAUAAAGCAAAAAAUUAACAAAACAAACCUACAAAUGAAAGUAAAAUCAUAACUUAGGAAAUGUACCUUCGACGAAAGAC